rnacentral:rRNA from 1 species
UACGAAGGGGGCUAGCGUUGCUCGGAAUCACUGGGCGUAAAGGGUGCGUAGGCGGGUCUUUAAGUCAGGGGUGAAAUCCUGGAGCUCAACUCCAGAACUGCCUUUGAUACUGAAGAUCUUGAGUUCGGGAGAGGUGAGUGGAACUGCGAGUGUAGAGGUGAAAUUCGUAGAUAUUCGCAAGAACACCAGUGGCGAAGCGGCUCAC